CAGCUCUGUCCAGACUGAGACAUGAAUUAUCCCUUUGUCCAGCGUCUCCAAAAUGUACACGCUCCCUGCCCGUGAAUCACUUAGUAGCUGUCUUGGUUAUCAGAUUGACUGCCUCCAGUAUCGCAGGGCUUUUGUUCAAGUCAGCCUUAUGGUAGCCUAAUGCUACGUCACAAUGCUGACAUCAUUCAUUUUCACUCCACAUCACCACGUAGGCACUAUCAUCACAAGAAGAAGGAAUGACAGCAUCAGCCAGGUGCUGCACAGCAGACGAAUAAGGAAAAGGCAGUUUGUGCCUGGUGGAGAAGAAGCAGAUUGUCCUUCCAACAGAGAGAUACUUGCUGAUAACAGCUGGCACGUGCCCAGCGCCUGAUCAAGAGCAGAUGAGAAGCAAGAGGAGAAACAGCUAACAAAGGAGAGAUGUGUUCAGCUGCUUCCAGAGGGACAGGGACAGGAAGCACUUACAAGGGAGGUUGAGGCUGGCCUCAUGCCUAGGUUUAGGAGAGUGACUCAAGUUUUCUGUGCCCUUCCCCUCCUUCCACACCAAUGCUGAGAGAACUAGACGAGUACCACUGGAAAUGACUCCAUUUUCUGUGUGAAACCAGCCCCGAAGAAGCAAUUAAAGCAGCCUGAAGGUGUUGGCAGAAGCCUAAGAACCUUUACGUGUGUGUUAUUUGGGGCUGCUAACCUUCCCCACCCUUGGACUCUUCUCGUCACAGAUUGGCUCCAGGUAUACGCUGCACUGAAGAGAACGGCUCUCACUGGUUCCUAGUUGUUACUUUGGGGUAAAAGUGGACCAUCGAUUUUGAGACUAGUCUGUUUGACACUGUGUCUACAGUUGGCCCAAAUGAACUGAUAAAUAAGUGAAAAAUUCAUUCCACGGCCUCAUUGUUGAGUCUAUGGAAAGCCUGUCCAAGCAAUCUGGCUGGUUUUCAUCGAGGAACCUAUAGAAUAUUUUGACAUGUGGAUACUGACUUCAUGUCUAGAUAUAUGCAUGUUUGUGUAAGUGUGUUUGUAUUUAUGGGAGAGAGAACGAGAGAGAAAGAGAGAGAGAGAGAGAGAGAGAGAGAGAGAGAGAGAGAGAGAGAUUAAAACCAUGAUGCUGAUCAAUGAGGAUAGACACUUAGAAAAAUAAACCAGUCAAAAGCUCCAGUAGAAAUCUGUUUGCUUGACUGACCUCUCCUGCAUUAAUGUAACUUAAAAAAAAAAAAACAUCAUGAAAACAUGUUGGCUUAAUGAACAGGACCUGUGAUAAAUCCUAACGCUUUAGGAGGAAAACGAAACAAGGAGAAGAUUCAGCGUCAGGGCUGAGGAUAUUCCACACCUCCUUUUUCAGGGAGUUAUUACAAGAAGGGUAUCUACUUAAGGUAGAUGUCGCUCUUUUGGUCCAGGGCCAUUGCAUAAUUUUUUUUCUGGACUUACAGACUCUUUCAAUUAGUCCUUCAUAUUCUUUUAUUGUGUAAAAAAUAUAUAACAUAGCAGUUAUCAUUUUUCAGUGCACAAUUCAGUGGCAUUAUCAGCACAUUCAUAUUGUUGUGCUAUCAUCACCACCUUCCAUCUCCAGAACUUUUUCAUCUUCCCAACUGAAACUUGGUACCCUUUCAAUC